UACAGAGACCUCAAGCGUUAUCCGGAAUCAUUGGGCGUAAAGCGUACCGAUAGGUGGUUUUACAAGUCAGAAGUGAAAUCUCAAGGCUCAACUUUGAGACUGUCUUUUGAAACUGUAAAACUAGAGGAGCAAAGAGGAAGCUGGAACGAACGGUGUAGUAGUGAAAUGCGUUGAUAUCGUUCGGAACACCAAUAGCGUAGGCAGGCUUCUGGGGUGCUACCUGACACUGCUAGGACGAAAGCGUGGGGAGCGAAUGGG
rnacentral:rRNA from 1 species